CUUUUUUUUUUUUUGGUUGUAUGUUUUUUCUUUUUGGAAGACUGGUAUCUUCUCUUUAUUCUGUCUUCCUAGGUUGGUAUAAUACUCAGCUGCAUAGCUCAUUUAACUGCUGACCCCAUGGGUUUAUGAGUUUGUGAUACCUGCUUUAAACCCACUAGGUUAUAAGUUUCUUGAGCUUUUGUAUCUUCUAUAGCAGUUAUUCUCAACCCUGGCUACACAUUGGAAUUUCCCAGAGAGCUUUUAAAAAUAGCAAAAAUUAUGAUUUAAUUGAUAUCAGUGAAGCUUUUUUUUUUUUUUUUUUUUUUUUUAAGAUGUAUACCACAUUGUCUUUAUCCAGUCAUCUGUUGAUGGUCAUUUGGGUUGUUUUCCAUAUGUUGGCUAUUGCAAAUAGUGCUGCUAUGAAAUUGGGGUGCAUAUGUCUUUUUGAAUUAUAUUUUUCUCCAGGUAUAUGCCCAGGAGUGGGGUUACUGGAUCACAUGGUAAGUGUUUUUAGUAUUUUAAUGAACCUCCACACCAUCCUCCAUAGCGGCUGCACCAAUUUACAUUCCCACCCACAGUGAGGGAGGGUUCCCUUUCUCCACACCCUCUCCAGCAUUAAUCAUUUGUAAACUUUUUAAUGAUGGCCAUUCUGGCUGGUGUGAGGUGGUAUCUCACAGUUUUGGUUUGCGUGCAUGUCUCUGACAAUUAGAGAUGCUGAGCAUUUUUUCAUGUGCCUAUUGGCCAUUUGUAUGUCUUCACUGGGGAAUUGCUUGUUUAGGUCUUCUGCCCAUUUUUGGAUUGGGUUGCUUUUUUGUUUUGUUUUGUUUUAGUAUUAAGGUGUAUGAGCUGUUUGUAUAUUUUGGAAAGUAGUCCCUUGUCAGUCACAUCAUUUACAAAUAUUUUCUCCCAUUCUGUGGGUUGUCUUUCCAUUUUGUUGUUGGUAUCCUGGGCUGUGCAAAAGCUUUUUAAGUUUAAUUAGAUCCCAUUUGUUUAUUUUUGCUUUUAUUUCCAUUACUCCAGGAGCUGGUUCAAAAAAUAUAUUGCUGUGAUUUAUGUCUGAAAGUGUUCUGUGUUUUCCUCUAGUUUUAUAGAAUCUGGUCUUACAUUUAAGUCCAUUUUGAGUUUUAUUUUCGUAUAUGGUGUUAGAGAAUGUUCUAAUUUCAGUCUUUUACAGGUAGCUGUCCAGUUUUCCCAGCAUCACUUAUUGAAGAGACUGGCUUUUCUCCAUUGUGUAUUCUUGCCUCCUUUGUCAUAGAUUAAUUGAUCAUAAGUGCGUGGGUUAAUUUCUGGAAUAUUUGAUUCCAUUGAUCUAUGUGUCUGUUUUUUAUGCCAGUACCAUACUAUUUUGAUUACUGUAGCUUUGUAGCAUAGUCUGAAGUCAGGGAGGACUUCUCCAUGUUCUUAAAAUAACUUGUGGAAGAGGGAGCAGACUUCUACAAUUUAGCAUAUGAUUUUUUUCUUCAGAGAUGGGAGUGGAGGAUUGAAGUUGGCAAAACUAUAUGGUUGUAGGGGAGGAAGCAGCGAUGCUGUCCAAGAGCAGGGCACUGUGCUAGGUCCCUUGUUGAAGAAGGCAUUUUAAUCCUACUUUACAGUUAAGGAAACAAACUCAGUGUGGUUAUGAGUUUUGUAGUUGCACAAGCACCAUAGUCGGCAUUCAGGUCCAAGCUUACCAGCUAUCAGUUCUUCCACCACACUACCCGAUGUCCCCAGGACACCAGUUGGAGAUUAGACACUUUGGAACGCGGCUUACUAAAGCAUAAGUGAAUGUCUCCCUCUCUGGAAUUCGAUUCAUGAGGACAGAAGCAGUGUUUGUCUACAUUUUCAGUUCAUGGUAAACCUUUGAAAAAAUGAAGAUGUCACAACAAAUGUGGUCAGCAUGACUGUUUCGGUGGAAAGCAAAAAGGGUGCAUAUACAAUGAAUAAAAUUUGAGACAACCAAAUUAAACCCAACAGGAGAAGGCUGCUCAGUUACCCACUGAAACUGAGAGUCCAACAGAGUCUCCAUUCAGGAUCUUUUUCAUCUUCACUAUCUACUUCCAUUUCUUGUGGACGGAGAGGUAAACAAGUGUCACUAUGGAAAUACAGACGAUUGUGUCCACUGCUGUAUGUUCGUUGCUGUUCCACUUCUCCA